AACUAUGAGGAGUUUCUUCUCAGCAAAGAAGGCAAUCAGAUCAGAACAUCACGAAUAGAAUAAAGAAUGAAUUGCUGCUUUGAAGGCAGACUAAGAUGAUUGACACGCCAUCAACCUCCCUUAUUCAGACUUACAAAGGUUACAUCCUCCAUGGUAGACAUACCACCUUCUUCUGUGAUGCAGUUUCUCAAACUGUUUGUCAAAUUGCAAGCCCUGCGCUGGAAAGAUGCCAGGACUCUUUUUCAGCAGUAGUGGCAGUGGCUCAAAUCGUAACCCAGGACAGGGCUGACCGACUGUCACUGAAUCGCUUUGGUUAGAAGAAAAAUGUGACUUUUUUUUCUCAUACAAGUAGUCAUCAAUUUAUAACUAUC